UGAAAAGCAUUUUUGGAUUCUUUCAUUCUGCCCUCAGGGUAGCAGCACAGAGAAGAGGAAGUCCCAGCCAGAUUCGCCUGGUGAAGUUAAAGAGAAAGCUUGGAUAGGCUAUUUUGGCCAAUAAGCAUCACUCCAGGGGUUGAAAUGAGGAUUUCAUCUAGGGUUACAGAAGCUGAAAUUCCGGGAGAAGAUACAAAACUGAGUGCUGAAAGGAAAAUGAAGGGGGUGCAUGGAAGAAAACUGGCCUGCUUUCGAGGACAUCAUCAGAGCCCAGAGUUCAACAGAUCAUGAACACUUCGAGACAAAUGAAGACAGGUGCAAUCUCCUUGAAGAAAUAAAAUCUAAGUACCAACAUCCCUUCUGAGUCAAGAAUCUCCUCUCUUAAAAAUGUAAAGCUAUUGAUCAGGGAGGGAAGUGUAUUAAGCAGAGCAUUUUUGAUCAAUGGCUGUAUACUUCCUCCUCCCUAACUCCCAAACUCCAGACACAACUGCAGUAACUCCUGAGAUUCUUAUGGAGCAGGAGAGCAGAUAAAUGGAGGAGAUGAAGCAUGAGGACUGAAUAUGGAAAUUUGGGUGCUAUAUGUUUAAUAUUGACUGAUAUAAAUCAACAUGCAUAUAUCAAUGUGUCACACUUUCCAGUUUCUAGGCAAAGAUCUUUGGUGCUGAUCACUCCACCCUCUGUAUACCAGAUAAUUGUGGCCCCCUCUCUCUCUAAGCAAAGAUGGUAGGGAUUGUGAGGUGAGGGUGGGCUUGGUAGAAUGAUUGCAGAAUUUUAAAAUAUAUAUAUCUCUCUCUCUAUUUGUUUCCAUAAUGUAAUCAUUACUCUACAUGCUGUUUUGGAACUUUUUCACUUAAUAUAACAUGACACUUUCUACUUGAUAUACUAUAGAUCAUAAAAUAAUUCAUUCUCUCUAUAUUUUUGAUGACUUACUGAGUUGCUUUGCUGAGCAUUCAGGACACAAUAAUGAAAAAAUGAGUAUAUACGUGGCUCUCAAGGACUUGAUGGUGCUGUUUCUCGUGUCUGUAAUUUAUUAUUUGAAACAUUUCCACAAGUUGUGCAAUAGAUAUUAAUGUUACUUUUCUCCCCAUGGUUCUUGACCCAAGUUUAAACCCGUAGUAAGAACAGAGACAGAGUUUGGACCCAGAUUGCAUUCCAAAAUGCACGUUCUUAUAAUAUAUGUUUUAUAUGUAAUGCUAAAGUUGAAAAAAAGAAAGAAUGUGAUAAACUGACUAGCGAAGUUGUGAAUAAAAGGUUUUGGGAU
rnacentral:lncRNA from 1 species